CUCGCAGGGAGGAUGCUAGUUCUGGAAGUUAGUUCAUCAAAACACUCAGCACCAACUUCUUUUAAAGUUUAUUAUGCAACAACUUUUGGUAGUUGCUCCAUCCUGGUUCAUUCACUUGGUUGGAUUUUCUUGGCUUGGUGGAGAAAUUUUACUAUCUCUCUGGCAGAUAUGACAUUGAGCUGACUGUUGGUGAUGCUGUCAUGGAGAACUCUUUCUUAUGGCCACUUGGCCAUCUUGAAUUAGAUCUUCCAGAAGCACCUACUAUCAAGGCACCCCGUCUUCCUCCACUAGUUGUUGAUCCAUACACGAGAUAUGGGCCCAAAGGAGAGAUAACCCACUUAUUCAGGACUCCUGAAAGUAAAGUUGCUGUAGAAGGGAGAGUUCAGUUUGAUCUGCUCCAGGUCAGCUUCACCGGUUCGAUGGAGAUAAAGCUGCUAGCCUUGCUCUCUUGGGCAUAGUAUAUAACAAGGGUGAGAUAUGUGUUGAAAGUUCAGUUUGUUUGUUCAGAAAGGGAAUGUGCUGAAUAAUUAUAUUAAAAGAUGGAUUUAGGCAUUUUUUUCUUCCUCUUUCACACCCUGCAGGAAUGCUAUUGAUUCCUCUUUAUUCAAGCAAUGGUUGCAUAACUUGCAAAGUGAGAUUGGGAUUCUAGCUGAUGGCACCUUGGCUCUGAGACAAGUUCUAAUUCAGGUUCCAGGUAUUGUAUUUGCAAGAGGACCUGCUGUGACUGUGUUGAUACUUCUGGAAUCAGAUGGUGAAACUUAUGCUGUCCUUACUGAACAGGCAAGGGUUCCUACUGGAAGAAUUAUUUUGGAAUUGCCUGCUGGAAUGUUGGAUGAUGACAAGGGUGAUUUCGUUGGCACUGCAGUUCGUUGAAAAGGAGACUGGCAUAAAGUUCAAACUUGAAGACAUGGUUGAUCUCACUGCUUUCUUGGAUUCUUCAACAGGAUGCAGAUUUUUUCCCUCACCAACAGUAGAUUAUAAGAGACCAACCUAUGAAGAAGUUGAAAACCUCCAAGCCUUACUUCCAAGGGAGUGCAAUAUCUGCCAAAUGCAAAUCGGCGAAAUGGUGAACUUUAUGGAUUCAAAAUGUAGUUCAAUCCAUUUUCUUCACUAAUUUUCACUUACUAUGAGUUUGGAAUACCACUGCCACUAUUUGUAAAUGGAUGCUAGGUAGAAGCUGCUCAUUAGGUGCCUACUACUUUUUGUAAUAAUAAAGAUAAAUAGAUGUGCAAGGUGUUUGGAAUUUUUAUUCCUAUUAGCAUAACAAUGCUGAUGAAUUUUUAUAGUAGAAUGUGAACCUGGUUUAAUUUGGAAUUGUUAA